rnacentral:miRNA from 1 species
UGCCUGGCCUUGUUUGUGUAUUUUUGCACACAUGUGUGGUGUGUGUGCAUGUUCAUACGUGUAUGUGCACAUGGAGGCACAC